UAAAGCUCAUAGGUUCACACUUACAGAAAAGAAAAUAAAAAUAAAAAAAAUAUAGAGGAGAACGAGAAGGUCCAAAAAGGCACGAGGGAACGGACGAUCCGAAGACCCACCACCCCCUUCUCUUGUCCACCAACCAGGAGCCUUCUCCCUCUGCAACCGGCGUGCAGGGAUCCCGUCGGUGCGCCUACCAUCCUAUUCUAAGAUGCAACCACUCUUACCCUUCUUCUCCCUCCUCCUUUUUCUCCGCCCUCUCUAAAUAGCGACUGCGAAGAGGGAAAGAAAAAGAGAGGACAUCGGUGUUGAACAUCAAUCAUGGCCGUUGGUGAGAACGCGGGCGGCGUCGAUCUCGGGGCAAAUGCGGGGUCUUCUAGCCGGGAUUUCGACGCCGGCGGAGCGCCGGAGUCGGACGGCCCCAAGGAUCUGGACGCCCGCCAGCCGGUGGUCCGGAUGGUAGAGCCCGCCGGCGGCCUCCCGGUCCUCCGCCCCCACCAGGACCCCGCCGCCGACUCCGCCGCCGCCUCCGCCGCCUACUACAUAAGGGUGCAGCAGUUCCACCCGCAGCACCGCGCGGCCGGCGGCUUCGGCGGCAUCCUGGAGAAGGGCUUGGCGAGGAGCGGCGCUGGGGUGGUGGUGGCGAAGCGGGCCGAUGGGGUUGUCGUCGGGAGGAAGGGGGACGCCGCAGCGGCGGCGGCCGCCGGCGGUGGCGAAGGGUUUAACCGGGAGAUGAGGGAUUUGGAGGAGCUCCUGUCGAAGCUGAACCCGAUGGCGGAGGAGUUCGUGCCCCCGUCGCUCGCCAACCAUAGCUACGCCGCCGCCACCGGCGGCGGAGUUGGCGUCGUUGACGCUGGGUUUGACUCUAAUGGCUUUGGAGCGCACCACGCUGUGGCUAAUGGCGGCGUGAAUGGCAGUGGUAGAAGGCGGAGCGGGUAUGGCCAGGGAAAGCGCCGAAUGAACAGCAGGACGACUUUAGCACAGCGAGAGGAAGUGAUAAGGAGAACAGUUUAUGUUUCUUAUAUCGAUCAUCAGGUUACUGAAGAACAGCUUGCAGCACUAUUCAUUAACUGUGGACAGGUUGUUGACUGCCGUAUGUGCGGGGAUCCAAACUCUGUUCUUCGUUUUGCUUUCAUAGAGUUCACUGAUGAGGAAGGUGCAAGAGCUGCUUUAAAUUUGUCAGGAACUGUGCUUGGAUAUUACCCAGUAAGGGUGCUUCCUUCCAAGACUGCAAUUGCCCCUGUUAACCCGACAUUUCUGCCAAGGUCCGAUGAUGAACGUGAGAUGUGUGCAAGGACUGUUUAUUGUACAAAUAUUGACAAGAAGCUUUCUGCAGGUUUCACAGGCAGAUGUUAAACUCUUCUUUGAGUCUCUAUGCGGAGAGGUCUAUCGCUUGAGAUUGCUUGGAGAUUAUCAUCAUUCGACUCGCAUUGCAUUCGUCGAGUUUGUGAUGGCUGAGAGUGCAACUACUGCCCUCAACUGUAGUGGCGCGAUUUUGGGAUCCUUGCCUAUAAGGAUAAGCCCCUCGAAGACUCCUGUGCGGCCACGUGCUCCUCGUCAACCCAUGAGCUGAAACUUUUAGGUCCAUGGCAUGGCCGAUAGAACUUUUAUACACACACAGAGUAUACAGGGGUAUUAAGGUAUUUCUCUUUUGGAUUAUAACUUAUUUCUAUGUAGCUUCUUAAUGUUUUGUACCUGGCAAAUCUUUAUAUGUCUAGUGGGGUGGAUCGUUCUUUUCUGGCACAUAGAGUUGGUUGGGACAUUGAGGCUUUUGACAGUUUAUCAGUAGACAAUGGACAAAUUUCCUUAACAUAUCUAUGAAAAAAAGCUGUAUCAAUUGUGUGGAAAAUAUUGCUGAAGGAAGCUGUUCUAGUUGCCUGAAAGUGUUCUAAUCAGUUGCUUCUAUUGGUUAUUAAAUAAAAGCUUGCUUCCUGCUGCACUGACUGGCUGUAACAAGGGGUUGGUUUGCUUUGAAGUUCAUCAACUUUUCCUGGGUAAUUUUUUACGCAUCUGAUGAAUUCUCUCUUCUUGGCUGUGGAUUAAUUAUGUAUAACCUCUUUGAAACUUAGGGACGAUCAGUGAGGGGAUGUUGUUACCGAUCACUGAUCACUACUGUUAUGAAUAGUCUGAUCUUAUGUAUUUCUUAUUAUUAAUGCUUAAUAUU